CCUACGGGAGGCAGCAGUGGGGAAUAUUGGACAAUGGGGGGAACCCUGAUCCAGCCAUGCCGCGUGUGUGAAGAAGGCCCUCGGGUUGUAAAGCACUUUCAGUGAGGAAGAACGCCUGGUGGUUAAUACCCAUCAGGAAAGACAUCACUCACAGAAGAAGCACCGGCUAACUCCGUGCCAGCAGCCGCGGUAAUACGGAGGGUGCGAGCGUUAAUCGGAAUUACUGGGCGUAAAGCGCGCGUAGGUGGCUUGAUAAGCCGGUUGUGAAAGCCCCGGGCUCAACCUGGGAACGGCAUCCGGAACUGUCAAGCUAGAGUGCAGGAGAGGAAGGUAGAAUUCCCGGUUUAGCGGUGAAAUGCGUAGAGAUCGGGAGGGAUACCAGUGGCGAAGGCGGCCUUCUGGACUGACACUGACACUGAGGUGCGAAAGCGUGGGUAGCAAACAGGAUUAGCUACCCGGGUAGUC
rnacentral:rRNA from 1 species